UACGUAGGGGGCAAGCGUUGUCCGGAUUUAUUGGGCGUAAAGCGUGCGUAGGCGGCUGCGCAAGUCGGUUGUGAAACCCCGGGGCUCAACCCCGGAACUGCAUCCGAUACUGCGUGGCUAGAGGUAGGUAGGGGAGAUCGGAAUUCCUGGUGUAGCGGUGAAAUGCGCAGAUAUCAGGAGGAACACCGGUGGCGAAGGCGGAUCUCUGGGCCUUACCUGACGCUCAGGCACGAAAGCUAGGGGAGCGAACAGG
rnacentral:rRNA from 1 species